rnacentral:rRNA from 1 species
AUUGAACGCUGGCGGCAUGCCUUACACAUGCAAGUCGAACGGCAGCACGGGAGUAAUCCUGGUGGCGAGUGGCGAACGGGUGAGUAAUAUAUCGGAACGUGCCCAGUCGUGGGGGAUAACGCAGCGAAAGCUGUGCUAAUACCGCAUACGAUCUCUGGAUGAAAGCGGGGGACUCGCAAGAGCCUCGCGCGAUUGGAGCGGCCGAUAUCAGAUUAGCUAGUUGGUGGGGUAAAAGCUCACCAAGGCGACGAUCUGUAGCUGGUCUGAGAGGACGACCAGCCACACUGGAACUGAGACACGGUCCAGACUCCUACGGGAGGCAGCAGUGGGGAAUUUUGGACAAUGGGCGAAAGCCUGAUCCAGCAAUGCCGCGUGCAGGAUGAAGGCC